GAUGAACGCUGGCGGCGUGCUUAACACAUGCAAGUCGAACGAAGCACCUUAUUCUGAUUUCUUCGGAAUGAAAAAUUUGGUGACUGAGUGGCGGACGGGUGAGUAACGCGUGGGUAACCUGCCUCAUACAGGGGGAUAACAGUUAGAAAUGACUGCUAAUACCGCAUAAGACCACAGCACCGCAUGGUGCAGGCGUAAAAACUCCGGUGGUAUGAGAUGGACCCGCGUCUGAUUAGGUAGUGGGUGGGGUAACGGCCUACCAAGCCGACGAUCAGUAGCCGACCUGAGAGGGUGACCGGACACAUUGGGACUGAGACACGGCCCAAACUCCGACGGGAGGCAGCAGUGGGGAAGAUUGCACAAUGGGGGAAACCCUGAUGCAGCGACGCCGCGUGAGCGAUGAAGUAUUUCGGUAUGUAAAGCUCUAUCAGCAGGGAAGAAGAAAUGACGGUACCUGACUAAGAAGCACCGGCUAAAUACGUGCCAGCCGCCGCAGUAA
rnacentral:rRNA from 1 species